rnacentral:tmRNA from 1 species
GGGGGCGUACCGGCUUCGACGGGGAUGUCGAUGUACGGACAGCGCGUCGUGGCGCCCAUGGCCACGUAAAAAUGGGCAAUCCUGCAACUGCGAACGAUAACAACGCUGUUGCUCUCGCUGCCUGAUUAAACCCAGGUAACGACGGUGUUCGAGGCUUCCGUCUGUAGCCACGAAACACCGACACAAUCAGACUGGAUCCCCGAAUUGUCAGUGCAGGGAGAUCGAGAAAAAGCUGACUUGUCAUGCACGCAGACCGGCCACCGUCGGCGAGCAUGAGACCCCAAAUGGUGUGCCUACACGCGUAGACGGCCGUUCGGAUGCAUUCUCGGACGCGGGUUCGACUCCCGCCGCCUCCACUA